GAUGAACGCUGACAGAAUGCUUAACACAUGCAAGUCUUUGGCGAAGCUGUGCUUGCACAGCCUAGCCAAGGCGGACAGGUGAGUAACGCGUAAGGAACUUGCCCUGCAGUCAGGGAUAACAGACGGAAACGACUGAUAAGACCUGGUAAAGUCAGGCGGACUCAUGUCCAGCCUGAUGAAAAGAGAUGCUGCAGGAGAGCCUUGCGUCCUAUUAGCUUGUUGGUGGGGUAACGGCCCACCAAGGCGAUGAUAGGUAGCCGGCCUGAGAGGGUGGACGGCCACAAGGGGACUGAGAUACGGCCCUUACUCCUACGGGAGGCAGCAGUGGGGAAUAUUGGACAAUGGGGGCAACCCUGAUCCAGCAAUUCUGUGUGCACGAUGAAGGUUUUCGGAUUGUAAAGUGCUUUCAGCAGGGAAGAAAAAAAUGACGGUACCUGCAGAAGAAGCGACGGCUAAAUACGUG
rnacentral:rRNA from 1 species